CGGUUAAAAAGCUCGUAGUUGGAUCUCGGCGGGCAGGGGGUGGUUCGCUCUUCAGCGCUACUGCCCCGCUUUGCCCGUGUGAUUGGCGGAGGUUUCGGGGUGCUCUUCGUUGAGUGACUCGGAGCGCCGUCAGGUUCACUUUGAAAAAAUUAGAGUGCUCAAAGCAGGCUUUUCACGCUUGAAUAUUCGUGCAUGGAAUAAUGGAAUAGGAACUCGUUUCUAUUUUGUUGGUUUUCGGAAAUCGAGUUAAUGAUUAACAGGGACAAUUGGGGGCAUUAGUAUUCAGACGACAGAGGUGAAAUUCUUGGACCGUCUGAAGACUGACUACUGCGAAAGCAUUUGCCAAGAGUGUUUUCAUUAAUCAAGAACGAAAGUUAGAGGUUCGAAGGCGAUCAGAUACCGCCCUAGUUCUAACCAUAAACGAUGCCAGCUAGCGAUCUGCCGAGUUUUUUUUGUAGGCUCCGCAGGAAGCUUUCGGGAAACCAAAGCUUUUGGGUUCCGGGGGAAGUAUGGUUGCAAAGCUGAAACUUAAAGGAAUUGACGGAAGGGCACCACCAGGA
rnacentral:rRNA from 1 species